rnacentral:lncRNA from 1 species
UGACCUGAGGAAUCACUUCUUUGCACUGCCUUUGUUUUUAGAGUCCGUGGUGCCUCCACCAGCUGCUGCUUGUGCAGCCUUCUUGGCUGCCUUCUCUUGGAGUGCUUUUGCAUCCCUUUACACAAUCAAGAUAACUUCAGUUUUUCCCCGUCAAUUACCAAAAUAAUCUAACAAAAAAUCGAAUUUUGCAUCCCUUUACACAAUCAAGAUAACUUCAGUUUUUCCCCGUCAAUUACCAAAAUAAUCUAACAAAAAAUCGUUUUUCCAUUUAAAAUUAAUCGAAUAAGGUCGAAAUUGUUAAAGAUAAUAAUAAAUCCAAACAAAACCCUAAGAACAGGAAAAA